rnacentral:rRNA from 1 species
UGAGAAGUGGUCGAAUAAUGCGUGAAAGUACACGAGCGGCGGACGGCUGAGUAACGCGCAGGAACGUACCCCAAAGUGAGGAAUAAGCAUCGGAAACGGUGUCUAAUGCCGCAUAUGAUCUACGGAUUAAAGUCUUUUGACGCUAUGGGAGCGGCCUGCGUAAGAUUAGCUUGUUGGUGAGGUAAAAGCUCACCAAGGCGACGAUCUUUAGCUGGUCUGAGAGGAUGAUCAGCCAGACUGGGACUGAGACACGGCCCAGACUCCUACGGGAGGCAGCAGUAGGGAAUUUUCCACAAUGGACGAAAGUCUGAUGGAGCAACGCCGCGUGCAGGAUGACGGCCUUCGGGUUGUAAACUGCUUUUGUGAGUGAAGAAUAUGACAGUAACUCAAGAAUAAGGGUCGGCUAACUACGUGCCAGCAGCCGCGGUCAUACGUAGGACCCAAGCGUUAUCCGGAGUUACUGGGCGUAAAGAGUUGCGUAGGUGGUUUAUUCAAGCAGAACGUGAAAUCACACGGCUCAACCGUGUAAACAUUUUCUGAACUGAUAAACUAGAGGGCGAGAGAGGUUA